UACGUAUGGAGCAAGCGUUAUCCGGAUUUACUGGGUGUAAAGGGAGCGUAGACGGCCAGGCAAGUCUGAUGUGAAAGGUGGGGGCUCAACCCUCAAACUGCAUUGGAAACUGUCCGGCUGGAGUGUCGGAGAGGUAAGUGGAAUUCCUAGUGUAGCGGUGAAAUGCGUAGAUAUUAGGAGGAACACCAGCGGCGAAGGCGGCUUACUGGACGAUAACUGACGUUGAGGCUCGAAAGCGUGGGGAGCAAAC
rnacentral:rRNA from 1 species